UCGAGAAUAGUCUACAAUGGACGAAAGUCUGAUAGUGCGACGCCGCGUGAACGAAGAGACCUUUCGGGGUGUAAAGUUCUUUUCUGUGCGAGCAGGGGUGGUUACAGUAAUAUGGUGAUCAUCUUGAUAUUAGUACAGGAAUAAGCCACGGCUAACUCCGUGCCAGCAGCCGCGGUAACAAGGGGGUGGCAAGCGUUGUCCGGAAUUACUAGGCGUAAAGGGCAGGUAGGCGGAUCAGUAAGUCGGACGUUUAAUCCUCGGUCGUAAGCUGAGACAUGCGUUUGAU
rnacentral:rRNA from 1 species